CCUACGGGUGGCAGCAGUGGGGAAUAUUGCACAAUGGGGGAAACCCUGAUGCAGCGACGCCGCGUGAAGGAAGAAGUAUUUCGGUAUGUAAACUUUUAUCAGCAGGGAAGAAAAUGACGGUACCUGACCAAGAAGCCCCGGCUAACUACGUGCCAGCAGCCGCGGGAACACGGAGGGGGCAAGCGUUAUCCUGAUUUACUGGGUGUAAAGGGAGCGUAGGCGGGUUAGGAAGUCAGAAGUGAAAGCCCGGGGCUCAACUCCGGGACUGCUUUUGAAACUGUUGAACUAGAAUGCAGGAGAGGUAAGUGGAAUUCCUGGUGUAGCGGUGAAAUGCGUAGAUAUUAGGAGGAACGCCAGUGGCGAAGGCGGCUUACUGGACUGUAAAUGACGCUGAGGCUCGAAAGCGUGGGGAGCAAACAGGAUUAGAUACCCUAGUAGUC
rnacentral:rRNA from 1 species